GGGGUUGUGGCUCAGCGGUAGGGUACUCACCUAGAACGUGGUAGGCCCUGAGUUUGAUCCUCAGCACCA
rnacentral:tRNA from 1 species